UACAGAGGGUGCGAGUGUUGUUCGGAAUUAUUGGGCGUAAAGGGCGCGUAGGCGGUUUGGUAAGUCAGUUGUGAAAUCCCUGGGCUUAACUCAGGAACUGCAGUUGAUACUGCCAAGCUAGAGUGCGAAAGAGGAGAGCGGAAUUCCCGGUGUAGAGGUGAAAUUCGUAGAUAUCGGGAGGAACACCAGUGGCGAAAGCGGCUCUCUGGAUCGACACUGACGCUCAGUGCGCGAAAGCGUGGGGAGCAAACAGG
rnacentral:rRNA from 1 species